UAAGGAAUAUUGGUCAAUGGACGCAAGUCUGAACCAGCCAUGCCGCGUGGAGGAUGAAGGCCCUCUGGGUUGUAAACUUCUUUUAUUGGGGAAGAAACCCGACUUUUCUAAGACGGUUGACGGCACUCAAUGAAUAAGCACCGGCUAACUCCGUGCCAGCAGCCGCGGUAAUACGGAGGGUGCAAGCGUUAUCCGGAUUCACUGGGUUUAAAGGUGCGUAGGUGGGCAGGUAAGUCAGUGGUGAAAUCUCCGGGCUUAACCCGGAAACUGCCGUUGAUACUAUCUGUCUUGAAUAUAGUGGAGGUGAGCGGAAUAUGUCAUGUAGCGGUGAAAUGCUUAGAUAUGACAUAGAACAUCGAUUGCGAAGGCAGCUCGCUACGCUAUUAUUGACACUGAGGCACGAAAGCGUGGGGAUCAAACAGGAUUAGAUACCCUGGUAGUCCACGCCCUAAACGAUGGAUACUCGACAUCAGCGAUACACGGUUGGUGUCUGAGCGAAAG
rnacentral:rRNA from 1 species